GUGCCAGCAGCCGCGGUAAUACCGGCAGCCCGAGUGAUGGCCGAUCUUAUUGGGCCUAAAGCGUCCGUAGCUGGCCGCGCAAGUCUAUCGGACAAUCCACCCGCUCAACGGGUGGGCGUCCGGCGGAAACUGUGCGGCUUGGGACCGGAAGAUCCAAGGGGUACGUCCGGGGUAGGAGUGAAAUCCCGUAAUCCUGGACGGACCACCGAUGGCGAAAGCACCUUGGAAGGACGGAUCCGACAGUGAGGGACGAAAGCUAGGGUCUCGAACCGGAUUAGAUACCCUUGUAGUCC
rnacentral:rRNA from 1 species